rnacentral:rRNA from 1 species
CAGUAGCCACGGUAAUACGUAGGGUGCAAGCGUUAAUCGGAAUUACUGGGCGUAAAGCGUGCGCAGGCGGUUCUAUAAGACAGAUGUGAAAUCCCCGGGCUCAACCUGGGAACUGCAUUUGUGACUGUAGAGCUGGAGUGCGGCAGAGGGGGAUGGAAUUCCGCGUGUAGCAGUGAAAUGCGUAGAUAUGCGGAGGAACACCGAUGGCGAAGGCAAUCCCCUGGGCCUGCACUGACGCUCAUGCACGAAAGCGUGGGGAGCAAACAGGAUUAGAUACCCGCGUAGUCCCUGUCUCUUAUAA